CCUGGUGAGUAGAUGAAAUAAAAAUAGAGAUUAAUUUAUAGUCUCUUUUGUUGACUUUAAGUGGGUGGUGUAUGUUGCUUAGUGGACAGUAAACAAAUGGAGCACCGACGUUGUGUUUGGAGAAAGGGGGGAAAAACAGAUGAUAAAUAAUGGAACCCGUGGGUGUGGUGGAAGUGACAACCAUUAUAGCAGUGCUUUUAUUAUCUUAGACUUUUAUGCUGGAGGGACUUUGUUUGGGAGGCUGUCACCUAUAUAUUUCUCAAGUUCAAUGGUUCUAUAAUUAAAUAUUAACCAAUAAAUUAGGGUUACCAUUUAGUAAUGAUUGUAUGUCCAUACACUUUUGUAAUCCCAAAAUGUAAAUCCAUCUUUAUAGGUAUUUGAAUCUGCUGGUUAAUCUGAUAAUACAAAUUUGUUGGUAAAUUUGGCAAUGUAAAUCCCUUGGUACAGA